CGGCGGACGGGUGAGUAAUGCCUAGGAAUCUGCCUGGUAGUGGGGGACAACGUUUCGAAAGGAACGCUAAUACCGCAUACGUCCUACGGGAGAAAGUGGGGGAUCUUCGGACCUCACGCUAUCAGAUGAGCCUAGGUCGGAUUAGCUAGUUGGUGGGGUAACGGCUCACCAAGGCGACGAUCCGUAGCCGACCUGAGAGGGUGAUCGGCCACACUGGAACUGAGACACGGUCCAG
rnacentral:rRNA from 1 species